UUUGGAGCUAGCCGUCGAAGGUGGGACAAAUGAUUGGGGUGAAGUCGUAACAAGGUAGCCGUAUCGGAAGGUGCGGCUGGAUCACCUCCUUUCUAAGGA
rnacentral:rRNA from 1 species